AAGUCGUAACAAGGUUUCCGUAGGUGAACCUGCGGAAGGAUCAUUAUCCUUUUGCGUAGUGCUCUAACAAGUACUACAAGCGCAUGCACGCUCGUGUUGCGUAAAAAAGCACAACAGAGGACGCCUAGUCGUUUUCUGUUUCCAAACCCAUGGCUUGCUUGAGCUAUGGUCGGGUACCUAAGUAGGUGUUCACUCACCUGCCUAAGCGAUAGAUGCGUGUCUAUCGUGUGGUGUAAAGAUUAUUCAGGCCUUGAAUAACGCCCGCUUAGCACAAAUUUUUACUACAAAUAUUAAUCGCACUACUAUGUUGUAUGUGUAAAGCACUAUCUUAUUACUUAUAAGAUAAUAACACAAAUACAACCCUAUGCGGUGGAUCAUUUGGCUC
rnacentral:misc_RNA from 1 species